AGAGUUUGAUCCUGGCUCAGAUUGAACGCUGGCGGCAUGCCUUACACAUGCAAGUCGAACGGCAGCGCGGGGCAACCUGGCGGCGAGUGGCGAACGGGUGAGUAAUAUAUCGGAACGUACCCUGGAGUGGGGGAUAACGUAGCGAAAGUUACGCUAAUACCGCAUACGAUCUAAGGAUGAAAGUGGGGGAUCGCAAGACCUCAUGCUCCUGGAGCGGCCGAUAUCUGAUUAGCUAGUUGGCGGGGUAAAAGCCCACCAAGGCAACGAUCAGUGGCUGGUCUGAGAGGACGACCAGCCACACUGGAACUGAGACACGGUCCAGACUCCUACGGGAGGCAGCAGUGGGGAAUUUUGGACAAUGGGCGCAAGCCUGAUCCAGCAAUGCCGCGUGAGUGAAGAAGG
rnacentral:rRNA from 1 species